GAUGAACGCUGGCGGCGUGCCUAAUACAUGCAAGUCGGGCGAACGGACGAGAAGCUUGCUUCUCUGAUGUUAGCGGCGGACGGGUGAGUAACACGUGGAUAACCUACCCAUAAGACUGGGAUAACUUCGGGAAACCGGAGCUAAUACCGGAUAAUAUUUUGAACCGCAUGGUUCAAAAGUGAAAGACGGUCUUGCUGUCACUUAUAGAUAGAUCCGCGCUGCAUUAGCUAGUUGGUAAGGUAACGGCUUACCAAGGCAACGAUGCAUAGCCGACCUGAGAGGGUGAUCGGCCACACUGGAACUGAGACACGGUCCAGACUCCUACGGGAGGCAGCAGUAGGGAAUCUUCCGCAAUGGGCGAAAGCCUGACGGAGCAACGCCGCGUGAGUGAUGAAGGUCUUCGGAUCGUAAAACUCUGUUAUUAGGGAAGAACAUAUGUGUAAGUAACUGUGCACAUCUUGACGGUACCUAAUCAGAAAGCCACGGCUAACUACGUG
rnacentral:rRNA from 1 species